AACUUAAAUGAUCUCUUCGGAGUGAACUUAAGUGGAUUAGUGGCGGACGGGUGAGUAACGCGUGAGUAACCUGCCUUAGAGAAGGGGAUAGCCUUUGGAAACGAAGAAUAAUACCCUAUGACACCAAAACCUCGCAUGAGGAUUUGGUCAAAGAUUUAUCGCUCUAAGAUGGACUUGCGUCUGAUUAGUUAGUUGGUGGGGUAACGGCCCACCAAGACAGCGAUCAGUAGCCGGCUUGAGAGAGUGUACGGCCACAUUGGGACUGAGACACGGCCCAGACUCCUACGGGAGGCAGCAGUGGGGAAUUUUGCACAAUGGGGGAAACCCUGAUGCAGCGACGCCGCGUGAUUUAGAAGGCCUUCGGGUUGUAAAAAUCUUUUCUAUGGGAAGAAAAUGACAGUACCAUAGGAAUAAGGACCGGCUAAUUACGUGCCAGCAGCCGCGGUAAUACGUAAGGUCCGAGCGUUGUCCGGAAUUAUUGGGCGUAAAGGGCUUGUAGGCGGUUGGCCGCGUCUGCCGUGAAAUCCUCUGGCUUAACUGGGGGCGUGCGGUGGGUACGGGUUGACUUGAGUGCGGUAGGGGAGACUGGAAUUCCAUGUGUAGCGGUGAAAUGCGUAGAUAUAUGGAGGAACACCAGUGGCGAAGGCGACUUUCUAGAAUCUAACUGACGCUGAGAUACGAAGGCGUGGGUAGCAAACAGGAUUAGAUACCCUGGUAGUCCACGCAGUAAACGAUGAGUGCUAGUUGUUGGGAGUCAAAUCUCAGUGACGCAGCUAACGCAUUAAGCACUCCGCCUGGGGAGUACGUACGCAAGUAUG
rnacentral:rRNA from 1 species